rnacentral:tRNA from 1 species
GCCCCUGUGGCGGAAUGGCAGACGCAGCAGACUUAAAAUCUGAUGUCGAAUGACGUGAGGGUUCGAAUCCCUCCAGGGGCA